rnacentral:snoRNA from 1 species
AAUCGUGAUGGGGACAAAGGGCCUGCAGUUCUUUGAAUCAUUCCCAAGCCUGAUAUAAAGCCUCACCAUUGUUUUGAGUGAAAAUGAAAUUUGUUUCUUAAGGGC